AGAGUUUGAUCCUGGCUCAGGAUGAACGCUGGCGGCGUGCCUAAUACAUGCAAGUCGAGCGAACGGACGAGAAGCUUGCUUCUCUGAUGUUAGCGGCGGACGGGUGAGUAACACGUGGAUAACCUACCUAUAAGACUGGGAUAACUUCGGGAAACCGGAGCUAAUACCGGAUAAUAUUUUGAACCGCAUGGUUCAAAAGUGAAAGACGGUCUUGCUGUCACUUAUAGAUGGAUCCGCGCUGCAUUAGCUAGUUGGUAAGGUAACGGCUUACCAAGGCAACGAUGCAUAGCCGACCUGAGAGGGUGAUCGGCCACACUGGAACUGAGACACGGUCCAGACUCCUACGGGAGGCAGCAGUAGGGAAUCUUCCGCAAUGGGCGAAAGCCUGACGGAGCAACGCCGCGUGAGUGAUGAAGGUCUUCGGAUCGUAAAACUCUGUUAUUAGGGAAGAACAUAUGUGUAAGUAACUGUGCACAUCUUGACGGUACCUAAUCAGAAAGCCACGGCUAACUACGUGCCAGCAGCCGCGGUAAUACGUAGGUGGCAAGCGUUAUCCGGAAUUAUUGGGCGUAAAGCGCGCGUAGGCGGUUUUUUAAGUCUGAUGUGAAAGCCCACGGCUCAACCGUGGAGGGUCAUUGGAAACUGGAAAACUUGAGUGCAGAAGAGGAAAGUGGAAUUCCAUGUGUAGCGGUGAAAUGCGCAGAGAUAUGGAGGAACACCAGUGGCGAAGGCGACUUUCUGGUCUGUAACUGACGCUGAUGUGCGAAAGCGUGGGGAUCAAACAGGAUUAGAUACCCUGGUAGUCCACGCCGUAAACGAUGAGUGCUAAGUGUUAGGGGGUUUCCGCCCCUUAGUGCUGCAGCUAACGCAUUAAGCACUCCGCCUGGGGAGUACGACCGCAAGGUUGAAACUCAAAGGAAUUGACGGGGACCCGCACAAGCGGUGGAGCAUGUGGUUUAAUUCGAAGCAACGCGAAGAACCUUACCAAACCUUGACAUCCUUUGACAACUCUAGAGAUAGAGCCUUCCCCUUCGGGGGACAAAGUGACAGGUGGUGCAUGGUU
rnacentral:rRNA from 1 species